UUUUGAGUAUCGGGUAUAAAAAGUCUGGUCACAGAUGCCGGCUCUAAAAACCACCAAUUCUCAUUGGUGCAGGUUCCAUUUCUUUCCACAAUGAGCAUCAACUUACUUAGACAUAUCAGUGGAGAAACACACCUUUGUAGGUAUUCAGCUCGUCAAACAUGCUGGACAGAUCCUUCCAUCCGUCUCAGCUUAAAAGUGCGAUUCUCGCGUGCUCGCGUUCCCGGUGUUAUGCGUAGCCUUUGCUUUAAAAGUGUUUUCUAAUUUUUUUUUUUCUAUUCUUAAGUUGUUCUUUUAAAAUUUGUAAAAUCUGUUACUUUUUUUGGUGUUGUUUUCAGAGAUAGUGCUUUCUUUAUCACAUACCUUAAGUAUCUACCAUAUCAGAAAAAAUAUCAAGUAUUUAAAAAUUUAAAAAACAAAAACUAAAACUUGAAAAAAAAGUCGAUUCAAGUGCUUGUUUUGAAGCAAAACGAAGGCAGAAAUUACGUGAUCUAAGAAGAUCCAAACAUCUUAGAUGCAACACUUGUGUAUUAAACAUGUCUGAUAAACUAUUUGUAAAGUCAUUUCGGAUCGACAAACUUUCAAAAUGAUUUUGGAGAAAGAUUAUUUAUUCUUUCCCCUGGAUAUAAAGAACUAGCGGUAGUUUUAAAAUAAAAUAAAACAGCUGUGCUCACCCAGAUGUUAUGUUAAGCGCUUGUUGCAAGCACAGUCUGAGCUGUUACAUUCACAUUUGGGCUGUUAUGCGCAAACAUUUAUUUCUUGCCAACUUUCCGAUAACCAAAUCGGACUGCGUCAGCUGUUUGCACCAAAACAAAAAUUGUUGUUGUCUUGAGGUUGGGUUAAAAUAAAAUUAUUUAUAAAGAAGGCAAAA